rnacentral:rRNA from 1 species
AGCGAACGCUGGCGGCAGGCUUAACACAUGCAAGUCGAACGGGCACUUCGGUGCUAGUGGCAGACGGGUGAGUAACGCGUGGGAACGUACCUUUCGGUUCGGAAUAAUUCAGGGAAACUUGGACUAAUACCGGAUACGCCCUUCGGGGGAAAGAUUUAUCGCCGAUAGAUCGGCCCGCGUCUGAUUAGCUAGUGGGUGUGGUAAUGGCUCACCAAGGCGACGAUCAGUAGCUGGUCUGAGAGGAUGAUCAGCCACAUUGGGACUGAGACACGGCCCAAACUCCUACGGGAGGCAGCAGUGGGGAAUAUUGGACAAUGGGCGCAAGCCUGAUCCAGCCAUGCCGCGUGAGUGAUGAAGGCCUUAGGGUUGUAAAGCUCUUUUGUCCGGGAAGAUAAUGACUGUACCGGAAGAAUAAGCCCCGGCUAACUUCGUGCCAGCAGCCGCCGUAA